rnacentral:rRNA from 1 species
GACGAACGCUGGCGGCGUGCUUAACACAUGCAAGUCGAACGGAAAGGCCCUGCUUUUGUGGGGUGCUCGAGUGGCGAACGGGUGAGUAACACGUGAGUAACCUGCCCUUGACUUUGGGAUAACUUCAGGAAACUGGGGCUAAUACCGGAUAGGAGCUCCUGCUGCAUGGUGGGGGUUGGAAAGUUUCGGCGGUUGGGGAUGGACUCGCGGCUUAUCAGCUUGUUGGUGGGGUAGUGGCUUACCAAGGCUUUGACGGGUAGCCGGCCUGAGAGGGUGACCGGCCACAUUGGGACUGAGAUACGGCCCAGACUCCUACGGGAGGCAGCAGUGGGGAAUAUUGCACAAUGGGCGGAAGCCUGAUGCAGCAACGCCGCGUGCGGGAUGACGGCCUUCGGGUUGUAAACCGCUUUCGCCUGUGACGAAGCGUGAGUGAAGGUAAUGGGGAAAGAAGCACCGGCUAACUACGU